rnacentral:ncRNA from 2 species
UCAGCACACGGCGAUGGGGCUCGCCUUUGACCGCCUAACCGGCUGAUAGCUCCUACCAACGG